rnacentral:misc_RNA from 1 species
GAUGAAGAACGCAGCGAAAUGCGAUAAGUAGUGUGAAUUGCAGACUUUAGUGAAUCAUCGAAUCUUUGAACGCACAUUGCGCCCGCCAGUAUUCUGGCGGGCAUGCCUGUUCGAGCGUCAUUUCAACCAUCAAGCCCCAGGCUUGUGUUGGGGACCUGCGGCUGCCGCAGGCCCUGAAAACCAGUGGCGGGCUCGCUGUCACACCGGGCGUAGUAGAUUUUAUCUCGCUCUGGGCGUGCUGCGGGUUCCGGCCGUUAAAAAACCCUUUUAACCCAAGGUUGACCUCGGAUCAGGUAGGAAUACCCGCUGAACUUAAGCAUAUCAAUAAGCGGAGGA